CCUACGGGCGACAGCAGUAAGGAAUAUUGGGCAAUGGGCGCAAGCCUGAACCAGCCAAGUAGCGUGAAGGAUGACUGCCCUACGAGUUGUAAACUUCUUUUAUAAGGGAAUAAAGUGAGUCACGUGUGCCGUUUUGUAUGUACUUUAUGAAUAAGGAUCGGCUAACUCCGGGCCAGCAGCCGCGGUAAUACGGAGGAUCCGAGCGGUGUCCGGAUUGAUUGGGUUUAAAGGGAGCGUAGUUGGGUAGUUAAGGCAGUUGGGAAAGUUUGCGGCUCAACCGUAAAAGUGCAAUUGAUACUGGCCGCAUUGAGUACAGUUGAGGUAGGCGGAAUUCGUGGUGUAGCGGUGAAAUGC
rnacentral:rRNA from 1 species